rnacentral:rRNA from 1 species
UGGGGAAUAUUGGACAAUGGGCGCAAGCCUGAUCCAGCCAUGCCGCGUGGGUGAUGAAGGCUCUAGGGUUGUAAAGCUCUUUCACCGGUGAAGAUAAUGACGUUAACCGGAGAAGAAGCCCCGGCUAACUUCGUGCCAGCAGCCGCGGUAAUACGAAGGGGGCUAGCGUUGUUCGGAUUUACUGGGCGUAAAGCGCACGUAGGCGGACUUUUAAGUCAGGGGUGAAAUCCCGGGGCUCAACCCCGGAACUGCCUUUGAUACUGGAAGUCUUGAGUAUGGUAGAGGGGAGUGGAAUUCCGAGUGUAGGGGUGAAAUUCGUAGAUAUUCUGAGGAACACCAGUGGCGAAGGCGGCUCACUGGACCAUUACUGACGCUGAGGUGCGAAAGCGUGGGGAGCAAACAGG